rnacentral:lncRNA from 1 species
GUGCUCUUCAUUGAUUUUGGCUGUUCAGCUACACUCCCAGUGCAGUCUUUGCGCAGCCUGGACAGUGAUGAUUUCUGGGCCAUCCCACCUUUGACUCAGCCCUUCAUGCUAGAAAAAGAUAUUCUCAGUUCCAAGCAAGCUGUUCGUCAAGUCAUGAAAGGAAAAAUCACUGGCUGCUUGAGCAUGGAGUCUCACAUCCUGAAGUUUGAAGAAAUGAAAUGAUAAACCUGCUCACUCAUUUUUGGUUUUCCAUUCCACUCCCAUCUCAGUUCCGUAGGUGACAUCAAACGCCCCCCAUCUUGUUUGUAGCCAUGCUGUUUCUCCUCAUCCUAUUAUAUCACUUUUACUCCUGUAUUCCCAGGAUAAGCUUGUGAUUAUAUUUGAUUAGAUUUCAGUUCAUAGGGCUCUGAACCCUGGCACAAAACCUGGAAAUUCCAGGAAAGGAGUAGUUAGGAAACUUUGCAUUUGCCCUGGUGCUCUUCUAAGAAGUAAGCUGUAUGUGAAGGGCAG